rnacentral:rRNA from 1 species
CCUACGGGAGACAGCAGUGGGGAAUAUUGCACAAUGGGGGAAACCCUGAUGCAGCGACGCCGCGUGAGUGAAGAAGUAUUUCGGUAUGUAAAGCUCUAUCAGCAGGGAAGAAAAUGACGGUACCUGACUAAGAAGCCCCGGCUAACUACGUGCCAGCAGCCGCGGUAAUACGUAGGGGGCAAGCGUUAUCCGGAUUUACUGGGUGUAAAGGGAGCGUAGACGGCAGCGCAAGUCUGAAGUGAAAUCCCAUGGCUUAACCAUGGAACUGCUUUGGAAACUGUGCAGCUGGAGUGCAGGAGAGGUAAGCGGAAUUCCUAGUGUAGCGGUGAAAUGCGUAGAUAUUAGGAGGAACACCAGUGGCGAAAGCGGCUCUCUGGUCUGUAACUGACGCUGAGGUUCGAAAGCGUGGGUAGCAAACAGGAUUAGAUACCCGUGUAGUC